GAGGAUUUAAGAUGAGUUUGUGUCCACUGUGGUUGCUGGCCCCAUGGUCAGGCCCUCCGUCUCUCUGCUUCCCCCCUCCUCUGAGCAGCUCUCCGGGGGCUCGGCCACGCUGGCCUGCCUGCUGACCGGCUACUCUCCUCAGGGAGCCGCGGUGCGCUGGGAGGUGGACGGUACGGAGGUGACAGAGGGGGUCCUGAGCAGCUGGGAGGAGGAGAGGAGCGGACGCUACAGCAGCAGCAGCACCCUGAGCCUGAGCCGGGAGCGCUGGAUGGAAGGAGAGCUGUACACCUGCAAGGUCCUCCAUCAUGACCGCAGCCAGACCCAGUCCCUCCACAGGAGCCAGUGUGAGGCCUAGAGGGGCCGACUGAAGCCCAGGACAGGAGCUGUGUGUGUGUGUGUGUCCCACUUCUAAUAUUGAUCUUCUGCAUAUUCUUCUUCAUGUUCUUUACUUUUCAAAUUCUGCUGAAUAUUAUCAGUUUAAGUCCAAGAUAAAUGUUUCAUUCAACAGAAAUGUGGCAUAAAGAUUUAAACAAUGUCUUAAUAAAACUGUGGAUUAUGAUA